UACGGGGGGGGCAAGCGUUGUUCGGAAUUACUGGGCGUAAAGGGCUCGGAGGUGGCCAACUAAGUCAGACGUGAAAUCCCUCAGCUUAACUGGGGAACUGCGUCUGAUACUGGAUGGCUUGAGAUUGGGAGAGGGAUGCGGAAUUCCAGGUGUAGCGGUGAAAUGCGUAGAUAUCUGGAGGAACACCGGUGGCGAAGGCGGCAUCCUGGACCAACACUGACACUGAGGAGCGAAAGCCAGGGGAGCAAACGGG
rnacentral:rRNA from 1 species